rnacentral:rRNA from 1 species
AGACCCGAAACCCGGUGAUCUAGCCAUGGGCAGGUUGAAGGUUGGGUAACACUAACUGGAGGACCGAACCGACUAAUGUUGAAAAAUUAGCGGAUGACCUGUGGCUGGGGGUGAAAGGCCAAUCAAACCGGGAGAUAGCUGGUUCUCCCCGAAAGCUAUUUAGGUAGCGCCUCGUGAAUUCAUCUCCGGGGGUAGAGCACUGUUUCGGCUAGGGGGCCAUCCCGGCUUACCAACCCGAUGCAAACUGCGAAUACCGGAGAAUGUUAUCACGGGAGACACACGGCGGGUGCUAACGUCCGUCGUGAAGAGGGAAACAACCCAGACCGCCAGCUAAGGUCCCAAAGUCAUGGUUAAGUGGGAAACGAUGUGGGAAGGCCCAGACAGCCAGGAUGUUGGCUUAGAAGCAGCCAUCAUUUAAAGAAAGCGUAAUAGCUCACUGGUCGAGUCGGCCUGCGCGGAAGAUGUAACGGGGCUAAACCAUGCACCGAAGCUGCGGCAGCGAACGUAUCACCCAAGACAACUUUACGGAGUUGACGAUUGACGGAGCGAAGCGACGUCAAAGCGUUCAUUAAAGUCGAGUUGGCUUAGGGAUACGUUCGUUGGGUAGGGGAGCGUUCUGUAAGCCUGUGAAGGUGUGUCGUGAGGCAUGCUGGAGGUAUCAGAAGUGCGAAUGCUGACAUAAGUAACGAUAAAGCGGGUGAAAAGCCCGCUCGCCGGAAGACCAAGGGUUCCUGUCCAACGUUAAUCGGGGCAGGGUGAGUCGACCCCUAAGGCGAGGCCGAAAGGCGUAGUCGAUGGGAAACGGGUUAAUAUUCCCGUACUUGGUGUUACUGCGAAGGGGGGACGGAGAAGGCUAUGUUGGCCGGGCGACGGUUGUCCCGGUUUAAGCGUGUAGGUGUGUGUUCCAGGUAAAUCCGGUUCACUUUAACACUGAGGCGUGAUGACGAGGCACUACGGUGCUGAAGCAACAAAUGCCCUGCUUCCAGGAAAAGCCUCUAAGCAUCAGGUAACAUCAAAUCGUACCCCAAACCGACACAGGUGGUCAGGUAGAGAAUACCAAGGCGCUUGAGAGAACUCGGGUGAAGGAACUAGGCAAAAUGGUGCCGUAACUUCGGGAGAAGGCACGCUGACACGUAGGUGAAGUGAUUUACUCACGGAGCUGAAGUCAGUCGAAGAUACCAGCUGGCUGCAACUGUUUAUUAAAAACACA